rnacentral:rRNA from 1 species
CCUACGGGAGGCUGCAGUGGGGAAUAUUGCACAAUGGGGGAAACCCUGAUGCAGCGACGCCGCGUGAGUGAAGAAGUAAUUCGGUAUGUAAAGCUCUAUCAGCAGGGAAGAAAAUGACGGUACUUGAGUAAGAAGCCCCGGCUAACUACGUGCCAGCAGCCGCGGUAACACGUAGGGGGCAAGCGUUAUCCGGAUUUACUGGGUGUAAAGGGGGCGUAGACGGCAGUGCAAGUCUGGAGUGAAAGGCGGGGGCUUAACCCCCGGACUGCUGUGGAAACUGUACGGCUGGAGUGCAGGAGAGGUAAGUGGAAUUCCUAGUGUAGCGGUGAAAUGCGUAGAUAUUAGGAGGAACACCAGUGGCGAAGGCGGCUUACUGGACUGUAACUGACGUUGAGGCUCGAAAGCGUGGGGAGCAAACAGGAUUAGAUACCCGGGUAGUC